AGAGUUUGAUCCUGGCUCAGGACGAACGCUGGCGGCGUGCCUAACACAUGCAAGUCGAGCGGAGACAGUGAGUAGCUUGCUAUGAGCUGUUUUAGCGGCGGACGGGUGAGUAACGCGUGAGCAACCUUUCCCAGACAGGGGAAUAACACACCGAAAGGUGUACUAAUACCGCAUAAGACCACGGGAUCACAUGGUUCUGAGGUAAAAGAUUUAUCGGUCUGGGGUGGGCUCGCGUCCGAUUAGGUAGUUGGUGAGGUAACGGCCCACCAAGCCGACGAUCGGUAGCCGACCUGAGAGGGUGAUCGGCCACAUUGGGACUGAGACACGGCCCAAACUCCUACGGGAGGCAGCAGUGGGGAAUAUUGCACAAUGGGCGAAAGCCUGAUGCAGCAACGCCGCGUGAGCGAUGAAGGUCUUCGGAUCGUAAAGCUCUGUCCUUGGGGAAGAUAAUGACGGUACCCUUGGAGGAAGCCCCGGCUAACUACGUGCCAGCAGCCGCGGUAAUACGUAGGGGGCAAGCGUUGUCCGGAAUAAUUGGGCGUAAAGGGCGCGUAGGCGGCUCGGUAAGUCUGGAGUGAAAGUCCUGCUUUUAAGGUGGGAAUUGCUUUGGAUACUGUCGGGCUUGAGUGCAGGAGAGGUUAGUGGAAUUCCCAGUGUAGCGGUGAAAUGCGUAGAGAUUGGGAGGAACACCAGUGGCGAAGGCGACUAACUGGACUGUAACUGACGCUGAGGCGCGAAAGUGUGGGGAGCAAACAGGAUUAGAUACCCUGGUAGUCCACACUGUAAACGAUGAAUGCUAGGUGUAGGGGGUAUCGACCCCUUCUGUGCCGCAGUCAACACAAUAAGCAUUCCGCCUGGGGAGUACGGCCGCAAGGUUGAAACUCAAAGGAAUUGACGGGGGCCCGCAC
rnacentral:rRNA from 1 species